rnacentral:rRNA from 1 species
CGUAGGGUGCAAGCGUUAAUCGGAAUUACUGGGCGUAAAGCGUGCGCAGGCGGUUGUGUAAGACAGAUGUGAAAUCGCCCGGGCUUAACCUGGGAACUGCAUUUGUGACUGCACGGCUAGAGUUUGGCAGAGGGGGGUAGAAUUCCACGUGUAGCAGUGAAAUGCGUAGAUAUGUGGAGGAAUACCGAUGGCGAAGGCAGCCCCCUGGGUCAAGACUGACGCUCAUGCACGAAAGCGUGGGGAGCAAACAGGAUUAGAUACCCUGGUAGUCCACGCCCUAAACGAUGUCUACUAGUUGUCGGGUCUUAAUUGACUUGGUAACGCAGCUAACGCGUGAAGUAGACCGCCUGGGGAUACGGUCGCAAGAAUUA